CCCUUAGAUGUUCUGGGCCGCACACGCGCUACACUGAAGGAGGCAGCGUGUACUCCUGGAUCGAAAGAUUUGGGUAACCCGCGAAUCUCCUUCGUGCUAGGGAUUGAGGUUUGCAAUUAUCCUUCAUGAACGAGGAAUUCCCAGUAAGUGUAAGUCAUAAGCUUGCGCUGACUACGUCCCUGCCCUUUGUACACACCGCCCGUCGCUACUACCGAUUGAAUGAUUUAGUGAGGACUUCGGACUGGGACCGAUGCGGCUUUCGGGCUGCGUCGGUAUUCUGGAAAGAUGUCCAAACUGUAUCAUUUAGAGGAAGUAAAANUCGUAACA
rnacentral:rRNA from 1 species